rnacentral:rRNA from 1 species
GACACGGUCCAAACUCCUACGGGAGGCAGCAGUGAGGAAUAUUGGUCAAUGGGCGAGAGCCUGAACCAGCCAAGUAGCGUGAAGGAUGACCGCCCUAUGGGUUGUAAACUUCUUUUAUAUNNNGGGAAUAAANNGUUUGNNNACANCGUNNGUGGGCCAUUUUGUAUAGUACCAUAUGAAUAAGGAUCGGCUAACUCCGUGCCAGCAGCCGCGGUAAUACGGAGGAUCCGAGCGUUAUCCGGAUUUAUUGGGUUUAAAGGGAGCGUAGAUGGAUGUUUAAGUCAGUUGUGAAAGUUUGCGGCUCAACCGUAAAAUUGCAGUUGAUACUGGAUGUCUUGAGUGCAGUUGAGGCAGGCGGAAUUCGUGGUGUAGCGGUGAAAUGCUUAGAUAUCACGAAGAACUCCGAUUGCGAAGGCAGCCUGCUAAGCUGCAACUGACAU